UACGUAGGGUGCAAGCGUUGUCCGGAAUUAUUGGGCGUAAAGAGCUCGUAGGCGGUCUGUCGCGUCGGCUGUGAAAACUCGGGGCUCAACUCCGAGCUUGCAGUCGAUACGGGCAGGCUAGAGUUCGGCAGGGGAGACUGGAAUUCCUGGUGUAGCGGUGAAAUGCGCAGAUAUCAGGAGGAACACCGGUGGCGAAGGCGGGUCUCUGGACAGUUCCUGACACUGAGGCACGAAGGCCAGGGGAGCAAACGGG
rnacentral:rRNA from 1 species